rnacentral:rRNA from 1 species
AAGGAAUAUUGGGCAAUGGACGCAAGUCUGACCCAGCCAUGCCGCGUGAAGGAAGACGGCCCUAUGGGUUGUAAACUUCUUUUCUCAGGGGGUAAACUCUGGAACGUGUUCCGGACUGAAAGUACCUGAGGAAUAAGCAUCGGCUAACUCCGUGCCAGCAGCCGCGGUAAUACGGAGGAUGCGAGCGUUAUCCGGAUUCAUUGGGUUUAAAGGGUGCGCAGGCGGAUAUAUAAGUCGGAGGUGAAAUUCUGAUGCUCAACAUCAGCCGUGCCUUCGAUACUGUAUAUCUAGAGUCAAGUUGGAGUAGGCGGAAUGUGUUGUGUAGCGGUGAAAUGCUUAGAUAUAACACAGAACACCGAUCGCGAAGGCAGCUUACUAAACUUUGACUGACGCUCAUGCACGAAAGCGUGGGGAUCAAAC